rnacentral:hammerhead_ribozyme from 1 species
ACCGGCUGACGAGUCCCAAAUAGGACGAAACGCGCGUCCUGGAU